GGGUCAGUAGGUUGGUCGUGCCACCGGUACGUACUGGUCUCACUGAUUCCUCCUUCCUGAAGAACCGUAAUGCCAUUAAUUUGGUGUUGCAGGGGAAACAGGACUGUUACUUUGAAAAAAUUAGAGUGUUUAAAGCAAGCUAACGCUUGAAUACAUGAGCAUGGAAUAAUGAAAUAGGACGAUCGAUCCUAUUUUGUUUGUUUCUAGGAUUGACGUA
rnacentral:rRNA from 1 species